rnacentral:rRNA from 1 species
UACGGAGGGGGCUAGCGUUGUUCGGAAUUACUGGGCGUAAAGCGUACGUAGGCGGCUUUGUAAGUUAGAGGUGAAAGCCCGGGGCUCAACUCCGGAAUUGCCUUUAAGACUGCAUCGCUUGAAUCAUGGAGAGGUUAGUGGAAUUCCGAGUGUAGAGGUGAAAUUCGUAGAUAUUCGGAAGAACACCAGUGGCGAAGGCGACUAACUGGACCGGAACUGACGCUGAGGCGCGAAAGCGGUGGGAGCAAACAGG